CUCGCCCUAUUCAGUGUAACUGCUGUGGUAGUGGGUUUGGUCGCUCGCAUUUAAAUUGGAAGGGUAAUGGUGGACCGCACUUCUCCCUUAGUAGGACGUUGCGACCUGUCAAAUAAUAUCCUAAGUAUAUGGCUAAUUUGUCUGUUUUUAGGCAAUACCGCGAGGUAUUUCCUUUAACAGUUUUAGCCGUUUAUAUAUACUGGAUAUAAUUGACAGUAACGAAUCAUGGUGUUGAGCCACUUGAAAUUGUAUAUUUAUAUGUAUAAUGGAAAGUGUCCUUGUGGCUGUUUGCAAGUGGGUUGGUUAAUUAGUUUUAGUCGGAUUUUGGUCCGUCUAGCUAUUCCGCCUACUGUUGGUAAACUGUUCCUUGGACAGUGCUUACAACACCGGUCGGCAGCGAUUCAGGUUCAGGCUCUUAUCCGACCCGUCUUGAAACACGGACCAAGGAGUUUAGCGUGUACGCAAGUCAUUGGGUGUAUAAAACCCAAAGGCGC
rnacentral:rRNA from 1 species